rnacentral:rRNA from 1 species
UACGGGGGGGGCAAGCGUUGUUCGGAAUUACUGGGCGUAAAGGGCGCGUAGGCGGCCUUCUAAGUCGGACGUGAAAUCCCUCGGCUUAACCGAGGAACUGCGUCCGAUACUGAAAGGCUUGAAUCCGGGAGAGGGAUGUGGAAUUCCAGGUGUAGCGGUGAAAUGCGUAGAUAUCGUAAGGAAGACCAGUGGCGAAGGCGGGUCUCUGGACAGUUCCUGACGCUGAGGCACGAAGGUCAGGGGAGCAAACGGG